AUUGAACGCUGGCGGCAGGCCUAACACCUGCAAGUCGAACGAGUGGCGGACGGGUGAGUAAUGUCUGGGAAACUGCCUGAUGGAGGGGGAUAACUACUGGAAACGGUCGAUAAUACCGCAUACCAUCAGAUGUGCCCAGAUGGGAUUAGCUAGUUGGUGGGGUAAAGGCUCACCUGGGCGACGAUCCCUAGCUGGUCUGAGAGGAUGACCAGCCACACGGGAACUGAGCCACGGUCCAGACUCCUACGGGAGGCAGCAGUGGGGAAUAUUGCACAAUGGGCGCAAGCCUGAUGCAGCCAUGCCGAGUGUAUGAAGAAGGCCUUCGGGUUGUAAAGUACUUUCAGCGGGGAGGCGUUACCCGCAGAAGAAGCACCGGCUAACUCCGUGCCAGCAGCCGCGGUAAUUC
rnacentral:rRNA from 1 species